UUAAACUGAAGAGUUUGAUCCUGGCUCAGAACGAACGCUGGCGGCGUGCUUAACACAUGCAAGUCUUACGAGAAAGCUUACUUCGGUGAGUGAGUAAAGUGGCGCACGGGUGAGUAACACGUGGGUAACCUACCCUCCGAACUGGGAUAACAUCUCGAAAGAGGUGCUAAUACCGGAUACGUCCUUUUAUCCUUCGGGAAAAAAGGGGAAAGAUGGCCUCUGCUUGCAUGCUAUUAUCGGUGGAUGGGCCCGCGGGCCAUUAGCUUGUUGGUAGGGUAACGGCCUACCAAGGCGACGAUGGCUAGCUGGUCUGAGAGGAUGAUCAGCCACACUGGAACUGGAACACGGUCCAGACUCCUACGGGAGGCAGCAGUGGGGAAUAUUGCGCAAUGGGGGAAACCCUGACGCAGCAACGCCGCGUGAGUGAUGAAGGCCUUCGGGUCGUAAAGCUCUGUCAGAGGGGAAGAAGGGUUCAAUGGUUAAUACCCAUUGUUCUUUGACGGUACCCUCAGAGGAAGCACCGGCUAACUCCGUGCCAGCAGCCGCGGUAAUACGGAGGGUGCAAGCGUUGUUCGGAAUUACUGGGCGUAAAGGGCGCGUAGGCGGCUGUUUAAGUCAGAUGUGAAAGCCCUCGGCUUAACCGAGGAACUGCAUUUGAAACUGGACGGCUUGAGUACGGGAGAGGGAAGUGGAAUUCCUGGUGUAGAGGUGAAAUUCGUAGAUAUCAGGAGGAACACCGGUGGCGAAGGCGGCUUCCUGGACCGAUACUGACGCUGAGGCGCGAAAGCGUGGGUAGCAAACAGGAUUAGAUACCCUGGUAGUCCACGCCGUAAACGAUGAGUACUAGGUGUUGUGGGUAUUGACCCCUACGGUGCCGUAGCUAACGCAUUAAGUACUCCGCCUGGGGACUACGGUCGCAAGACUAAAACUCAAAGGAAUUGACGGGGGCCCGCACAAGCGGUGGAGCAUGUGGUUUAAUUCGAAGCAACGCGAAGAACCUUACCUGG
rnacentral:rRNA from 1 species